ACGAACGCUGGCGGCGUGCUUAACACAUGCAAGUCGCACGGAAAGACCCUGCUUUUGUGGGGUGCUCGAGUGGCGAACGGGUGAGUAACACGUGAGUAACCUGCCCUUGACUUUGGGAUAACUUCAGGAAACUGGGGCUAAUACCGGAUAGGAGCUCCUGCUGCAUGGUGGGGGUUGGAAAGUUUCGGCGGGUGGGGAUGGACUCGCGGCUUAUCAGCUUGUUGGUGGGGUGGUGGCUUUCCAAGGCUUUGACGGGUAGCCUGCCUGAGAGGGUGACCGGCCACAUUGGGACUGAGAUACGGCCCAGACUCCUACGGAGGGCAGCAGUGGGGAAUAUUGCACAAUGGGCGGAAGCCUGAUGCAGCAACGCCGCGUGCGGGAUGACGGCCUUCGGGUUGUAAACCGCUUUCGCCUGUGACGAAGCGUGAGUGACGGUAAUGGGUAAAGAAGCACCGGCUAACUACGUG
rnacentral:rRNA from 1 species